rnacentral:rRNA from 1 species
CAGAAUUUGCCUGGCGGCUUUAGCGCGGUGGUCCCACCUGACCCCAUGCCGAACUCAGAAGUGAAACGCCGUAGCGCCGAUGGUAGUGUGGGGUCUCCCCAUGUGAGAGUAGGGAACUGCCAGG